CUCUCAAAACCUCGCGUGCUUUCGCUGGAGCUGGCCAUCUUUGGCACCUUUGGGAGCUCCUGCUGUUCUGCAGCAGAGGCACUGACGUUGUUAGGUGCUUUGUCAUCCUGUGAUCUGGUCCCAGAGGCACGCGUAGGGGCCCGGGAUACUAUAGAAGCGAGGAGAUGGAGCCAAUGACAUUUGAUGAUGUGGCCAUUAUUUUUUCUCCAGAGGAGUGGGAAUGUCUGGACUCUGCUCAGCGGGACUUAUACAGGGAUGUAAUGGUGGAGAAUUGCAGAAACCUGCUGUCUGUGGAGGCAUCCCGUCAUGGUACCAAAGGCUUUUCAUCAAAGAAGGACAUGAAGCGUUUCUUCCAAGAAGAGUUAAGGAGAAGACUCAGCAAGUGUGGCGCUGACAUUUUCCAUCCGAGGAAACAGUGGGAGAGUGAGAGGAAGACGGAAAGUCAAAAAGUGCUGUGCAGUAGACCGUGUGUGACAGCUGACAGUGGUACAGAGAAAAGUGUCUCUGCCAACAGAGAUCAAGGACAGGAAAUAUCUCAGAAAAGGUCUCCCGUCGUGGCAGUGACUCAAAAAGAGCCCCACCUUUCAGUCAGCAAACAUUCCCAGCCACAUUUGAAACUUACCUUUCCUCUGAAAGGAAAGCGGCAAUGUCCGAAAGGGAGCCGACUUCACGACACGACCAGUAAGGUGAUCGAUUUAAAAAGGAGCACUGGACUGAACUCUUCCUCAAACAUUUCUGUAGCUAGAUUAGAAUAUAAACAUAUUUCUAAAUGUGAUCAGUUAGAGAGCUCUUUUACAAAAAAGCCAUCGCUUUGUAGUAAACAAACAACUUGUGUCAAACUACACAGUGUCAAUGAACGUGGGCAGAAACUUUCUCGUCCCUCACUCUUAAAUAAAAAAAAAGGCACAACGAUUUGGGACGCGAAGAGGGGAGCAGAGAGCGUGUGCAAGGAGACUUCUCAGACCGUUCGCCAGAGCGGUAUCCUGAAUAACUCCCAGGAUUCCUCUACUGGAGAGAAAACUUAUGAAUGUACGAAGACACACAAAAACUUCAGCGGUGGUUCAGCUCAUGGUAAGCGGGCUCCUUCUCUAGGGAAUGUUUUUAGAGGGAACAAAUGUGGGGAUGUCAGUCAUCAGAGCUUAAAAGAUCUUCAGAGUUCCCACCUUCAAGAUGAGGCUUACAAGUGUGAGGGAUGUGUCCUGACUUUUCGUCAAAAAUCAGAUCUCCUAGAACACCAGAAAACUCAUGGGAGAGCCAAAUCCUACAAAUGUGGAGAGUGUGGUAAAGCUUUUAGCAGUUGUUCAGACCUUAAUGUACAUCAGAGAAGUCAUGAUGGAGAGAAUCCCCAUGAGUGUAAAGAGUGUGGCAGAGCCUUUGCUAGUGGUAGGGCUUUAGCUCGCCACCAACACACUCAUACAGGAAAGAAAUCUUAUAUCUGUGAAGAGUGUGGCAAAAACUUUAAGAAGGGUUCAAACCUUAAUCAACAUCUAAGGAUUCACACUGGAGAGAAACCUUUCAAAUGUGAGGACUGUGGCCUAGCUUUUAAUCAAAGCUCCCAUCUUGCUAAGCACCAGAGAAUUUACGCUGGAGAAUGUGGUAGAUCCUUUGUCAAGUGUUCCACCAGCAGACGUUGCCAUAGCAUUCGUCCUGGAGCGAAGCCCCACAAGUGCAAGCAGUGUGGGAAAACCUUCGUUGAUAUUUCAAAGCUUACUCAACACCAAAACGUCCACACUGGCGAGAAACCGUUCAAGUGUAACGAGUGCGGCAAAGCCUUUAACAGUGGGUUAAGCCUGAAACAACAUCAAGUAGUUCACACUGGAGAGAAGCCCUACAAGUGUAAAGAGUGCGAGAAAGCCUUCACGCAGAUUGCAAAGCUUACAGAGCACCAGCGAGUUCAUACUGGAGAGAAGCCCUAUGAGUGCAAGGAAUGUGGCAAAGCCUUUCGCAAUUUUUCAGCGUUCAAUUACCACCACAGAACUCAUACAGGAGAGAAGCCCUAUGAGUGCAAGGAAUGUGGCAAAGCUUUUACCAAAAGUUCAGAUCUCAAAAGACAUCACAGAAUUCACAGUGGAGAGAAACCUUACAAAUGUAACGAGUGUGGCAAAGCCUUUGCCAUGAAUGUAAGUCUGAGAGAGCAUCAGAGGGUGCAUUCUAGAGAGAAACCCUACAAACGUGAUUAGUGCAGCAAAGCCUUCAACCACUGUUCACACCUCACACUGCACCAGAGAAUUCACACCGGAGAGAAGCCCUACACGUGUGAAGCCUGCGGCAAAGCCUUUUCCAGGUGGUCAGGCCUCAAAUACCAUAACAGAACUCAUACUGGAGAGAAGUGUUCCUAAUGCAAAGACUAUGGCAAGCUGUGUGUGUGUGCACAUGUGUGGACACAUGUCACUAUGUGUGGAAGGCUGAGGGUUUCUCUAUGUAGCACUGGUUGUCUUGGAGCUCACUCUGUAGAUUAGGCUGGCCUUGAACUCACAGAGAUCUGCCUGCUUCCACCACCCAAGUGCUGGGAUUAAACAUGUGCACUGACAACAACCAGCAAAAGAUGGAUUUUUUUUUUCCUUUUGUAUUCUGUCAAGAUACAUUUUUUUUAAGUUCAAACUUCCUCUUCAUGGAAGCAAAAACCUAUUACUUGCACUUAAAUUAAUGUAUCUUGUUUGACUAAUUCUGUAGAGCUUUUAGCCUUAGUUUAUUUCCAAGAUUUUAUAAUACUCUGAUUAGAGUGUGUGUGUGUGUGUGUGUGUGAGAGAGAGAGAGAGAGAGAGAGAGAGAGGGAGAGAGAGAAAGAGAAAGAGAAGGGGGUGGGCAUACAGAGGAGAAGGAAAGAGGUAUGGAAUUGUGCAUGUGUGAGUGAAUUGUUCUGGCAUGGGCAUUAGACUACUGGAGGCUCCAGGUAGCAUGUUGACAGCGUUGUACCAGGUAAGCAGAUAUCUCUAAUAAUCAUUUUCUUAUUUUCAUUAAAGCUUAAAAUUAUUGCUGAAACAGUAAUUAUGGGAGAGAUAGUAUAUAGACUUGAUUUCUGAGUCUUCAGUGGUUGUACAAUUUUAACCUCUAUUUUUAUAUGUUAUGCUUUGAGUCCUAUGAUGUACACUAAUUUUGGGUUUGUGUUACAUUGAGAUAUAUAGCUAUUAUAAUAUAAUGAUUAAUCUUAGGACUAAGCAACCCAUGGAAGAGAUAAACAGCUCGUGCAUGUCUUUGAGGAUGGGUUUGGUGCUUACCUAUCUUGAUACGGUAAUUACUGACACGAAAGAAAAUGCAAAUGACUUCCCACUAUGGUUCCUUCCAGCCUCCUGUAAUCCGAGGAAACAAUGGAGACCUCAUCUUCCUGAAGUCUGUGUGGGAUAACUGCGUGUAACCCAGAGGCUUAACCCUAGCUUUCCAAAGGUCCCGAAUUCCACAAGAAAGACAGUCUCCUCUCCGUUCUUCACAGAUGCCAUUUUGAUUCUGUGAAGUCCUCAUCUUUAGUCCCAAUGGGCAGUGAAAUAAUUUUUCACUUGUAACAGCCCCAUCUCUCUUCUAAAGGGGUUAGAGUUCUAAUAACUGGUGAUUCAUCUAUCUAAUUUAUUUGCUAAGAGGAUUGAAUGAACUGCCCUUGGUUCUCAGUAUACUUUGCCAGUGCUCAGUUCUGUGAGAGAAGUACAGAAGGCAGGGCCUAUGCGUUCCAUCUGUCUCCUGACACUUAAAGUGAGAGAGUGUGGGGGAGUGUGGGGGAUGUGAGGGAGGGUCAGCAGACAGGCACUUUAAGAGAGUGGGCACAGAUUUGUGGGGUACUGGGGCCAUGGCCCUUCCAGAGAUCAGGCUAGCAGUCCGAGGACUUUUUACUGAUUGGCAAUUUCUCCUAAUUUAUUUCUGACAUUUCACAUUUCUGCCUGGGCUAGAGCACACUACAGCUCUGGGCUGUCGUCUUUGAGUCCAUUCUGUAUUUUCUACUGAGUUCUGGGUGAACUUGAAGGAAAAUAAAGAGUUGGACAGGGGA